CCUACGGGGGGCUGCAGUGGGGAAUAUUGGACAAUGGGGGCAACCCUGAUCCAGCCAUGCCGCGUGUGUGAAGAAGGCCCUCGGGUUGUAAAGCACUUUCAGUGAGGAAGAACGCCUGGUGGUUAAUACCCAUCAGGAAAGACAUCACUCACAGAAGAAGCACCGGCUAACUCCGUGCCAGCAGCCGCGGUAAUACGGAGGGUGCGAGCGUUAAUCGGAAUUACUGGGCGUAAAGCGCGCGUAGGUGGCUUGAUAAGCCGGUUGUGAAAGCCCCGGGCUCAACCUGGGAACGGCAUCCGGAACUGUCAAGCUAGAGUGCAGGAGAGGAAGGUAGAAUUCCCGGUGUAGCGGUGAAAGGCGUAGAGAUCGGGAGGAAUACCAGUGGCGAAGGCGGCCUUCUGGACUGACACUGACACUGAGGUGCGAAAGCGUGGGUAGCAAACAGGAUUAGAUACCCCUGUAGUC
rnacentral:rRNA from 1 species